AGAGUUUGAUCAUGGCUCAGGAUGAACGCUAGCUACAGGCUUAACACAUGCAAGUCGAGGGGAAACGACAUCGAAAGCUUGCUUUUGAUGGGCGUCGACCGGCGCACGGGUGAGUAACGCGUAUCCAACCUGCCCAUCACUUGGGGAUAACCUUGCGAAAGUAAGACUAAUACCCAAUGACGUCUCUAGAAGACAUCUGAAAGAGAUUAAAGAUUUAUCGGUGAUGGAUGGGGAUGCGUCUGAUUAGCUUGUUGGGCGGGGUAACGGCCACCAAGGCGACGAUCAGGUAGGGGUUCUGAGAGGAACGGUCCCCCANAUUGGAACUGAGACACGGUACCAAACUCCGUACGGGAGCA
rnacentral:rRNA from 1 species